GACGAACGCUGGCGGCGGGCUUAACACAUGCAAGUCGAACGGAAAGGCCCUGCUUUUGUGGGGUGCUCGAGUGGCGAACGGGUGAGUAACACGUGAGUAACCUGCCCUUGACUUUGGGAUAACUUCAGGAAACGGGGGCUAAUACCGGAUAGGAGCUCCUGCUGCAUGGUGGGGGUUGGAAAGUUUCGGCGGUUGGGGAUGGACUCGCGGCUUAUCAGCUUGUUGGUGGGGUAGUGGAUUACCAAGGCUUUGGCGGGUAGCCGGCCUGAGAGGGUGAACGGCCACAUUGGGACUGAGAUACGGCCCAGACUCGAACGGGAGGCAGCGGUGGGGAAUAUUGCACAAUGGGCGGAAGCCUGAUGCAGAAACGUCGCGUGCGGGAUGACGGCCUUCGGGUUGUAAACCGCUUUCGCUUGUGACGAAGCGUGAGUGACGGUAAUGGGUAAAGAAGCACCGGCUAACUACGUG
rnacentral:rRNA from 1 species